GACGAACGCUGGCGGCGUGCUUAACACAUGCAAGUCGAACGGAAAGGCCCUGCUUUUGUGGGGUGCUCGAGUGGCGAACGGGUGAGUAACACGUGAGUAACCUGCCCUUGACUUUGGGAUAACUUCAGGAAACUGGGGCUAAUACCGGAUAGGAGCUCCUGCUGCAUGGUGGUGGUUGGAAAGUUUCGGCGGUUGGGGAUGGACUCGCGGCUUAUCAGCUUGUUGGUGGGGUAGUGGCUUACCAAGGCUUUGACGGGUAGCCGGCCUGAGAGGGUGACCGGCCACAUUGGGACUGAGAUACGGCCCAGACUCCUACGGAAGGCAGCAGUGGGGAAUAUUGCACAAUGGGCGGAAGCCUGAUGCAGCAACGCCGCGUGCGGGAUGACGGCCUUCGGGUUGUAAACCGCUUUCGCCUGUGACGAAGCGUGAGUGACGGUAAUGGGUAAAGAAGCACCGGCUAACUACGUG
rnacentral:rRNA from 1 species